AGAGCGAACGCUGGCGGCAGGCCUAACACAUGCAAGUCGAGCGCCCGUAGCAAUACGGGAGCGGCAGACGGGAUAGUAACACGUGGGAACGCGCCCUUCGGUUCGGAAUAACUCAGGGAAACUUGAGCUAAUACCGGAUACGCCCUUACGGGGAAAGAUUUAUUGCCGAAGGAACGGCCCGCGUCCGAUUAGCUAGUUGGUGAGGUAAUGGCUCACCAAGGCUCCGAUCGGUAGCUGGUCUGAGAGGAUGACCAGCAUCACUGGGACUGAGACACGGCCCAGACUCCUACGGGAGGCAGCAGUGGGGAAUAUUGGACAAUGGGCGCAAGCCUGAUCCAGCCAUGCCGCGUGGAUGAUGAGGCCUUAGGGUUGUAAAGUCCUUUUAACGGGGAAGAUAAUGACGGUACCGUAGAAUAAGCCCGGCUAACUUCGCGCCAGCAGCCGC
rnacentral:rRNA from 1 species